GUGGGGAAUAUUGGACAAUGGGGGGAACCCUGAUCCAGCCAUGCCGCGUGUGUGAAGAAGGCCUUUUGGUUGUAAAGCACUUUAAGCGAGGAGGAGGCUACCGAGAUUAAUACUCUUGGAUAGUGGACGUUACUCGCAGAAUAAGCACCGGCUAACUCUGUGCCAGCAGCCGCGGUAAUACAGAGGGUGCAAGCGUUAAUCGGAUUUGCUGGGCGUAAAGCGCGCGUAGGUGGCCAAUUAAGUCAAAUGUGAAAUCCCCGAGCUUAACUUGGGAAUUGCAUUCGAUACUGGUUGGCUAGAGUAUGGGAGAGGAUGGUAGAAUUCCAGGUGUAGCGGUGAAAUGCGUAGAGAUCUGGAGGAAUACCGAUGGCGAAGGCAGCCAUCUGGCCUAAUACUGACACUGAGGUGCGAAAGCAUGGGGAGCAAACAGGAUUAGAAACCCGGGUAGUCC
rnacentral:rRNA from 1 species